rnacentral:lncRNA from 1 species
CUGCUGAGCCGCUGGUCCUUCCCCACGUCCCCGUGUCCUCAGGGCUGUGAAACCACCCUGCAUUCCCCAGGGACAUCAUGUCCCCGAGGGCUACUGAUCCACUGCGUGGUCCCCGGAGCCACCGUGUCCCCAGGGACUACCAGGCCACUGUGCCGUGCCGUGCCGUGCUGAGCCUGUGCCCGCCCCGCAGGUGGCCUGCAUGCAGUUCAUCAACAUCGUGGUGCACUCGGUGGAGAACAUGAACUUCCGCGUCUUCCUGCAGUAUGAGUUCACCCACCUGGGGCUGGACCACUACCUGGAGGUGGGUGACCUGCACUGCCCCAGUGCUGAGCCCCGCUGCCAGGGGUGAGGGGGAUGCUGGGGGGGUACCACCAUCCGUGACGGUCCCACCGACUGUCCCACGCAGACCCUCCGUCUCACCGAGAGCGACAAGCUGCAGGUGCAGAUCCAAGCCUACCUGGACAACGUCUUCGACGUGGGGGCCAUGCUGGAGGACUCGGAGACCAAGACAGCGGUGCUGGAGCACAUGGAGGAGCUGCAGGAGCACGUCAGCCAGGUGGGAUGUGGGCGUGUGGGCAGGAGCUGCUGACGCCAGCCCCGAGGGAGGGAUGGGGACGGGGCUGAGUGACGUCGCCUUGUCCCCCGCAGUUGACGGAGAAGCUGCAGGAUGCAGAGAACGACUCCAUGGCCAAGAUAGCAGAGCUGGAGAAGCAGCUGAGCCAGGCACGGCGGGAGCUGGAGGCGCUGCGGGUGAGCACCCAUGGGUGCUACGAUGCUGGAGAAAGGGAUGGGUGCCUGGGGGACCAGGGUUUAAGGGGACACCAGCGAUGUGCCGGGGCUUGUCACCACUGCAGGAGCAGCUGAGCCCGCCGCGGCCACCCAGCCCGCCGACCCCGCAGCCCCAGGAGUGCUACCGGCUGGCGCUGGAGCGGCGGCUGGCGGAGCUGGAGGAGAAGGGUUUGGUGCAGAUCCUGCGUGGGCCUGACGGAGACGUCGCCAUCGAAAUCGUCCCCGUUGUCAUAGAAACCCCAGCAGCCCCCGUGGUUACUGGAGAGGCCACCGGCACCGGCACAGGUACCAGGGGUGUGGGGGGAUGGUGGCAGCCCGUGAUGUCCCCUUCCCGGUGGGGACAGCCAGCACAGAGGAGGGGUGGCAGCCUGUCUCCAGGCAGAGAAAUGGAGGUGGGGCUCAGGGAUGUGCCCAGGGACGCAGACUCA